rnacentral:rRNA from 1 species
CCCUUAGAUGUUCUGGGCAGCACGCGCGCUACAAUGGUCUUCGCAAACGGAUGCAUUCUCGAAGGAGAAUGCCAAUCUUGGAAUCUAUGCCUUGGUCUGGACAGUUGCUUGCAAUUUUUCGACUCGAACCAGGAAUUCCUUGUAAUCGUGAUUCAUCACAUCACGAUGAAUACGUCCCUGCCCUUUGUACACACCGCCCGUCGCUCCUACCGAUCGAAGAGUUAGGUGAAUUGUUUUGAUCGAUAAGAUUUGACUAUGGUCAACUCUCGUUGUGAAAUUCUGUGAAUCUGACUGUUUAGAGGAAGGAAAAGUCGUAACA